rnacentral:rRNA from 1 species
CCUACGGGUGGCAGCAGUAGGGAAUAUUGCUCAAUGGGGGAAACCCUGAAGCAGCAACGCCGCGUGGAGGAUGAAGGUUUUCGGAUUGUAAACUCCUUUUGUGAGAGAAGAUAAUGACGGUAUCUAACGAAUAAGCACCGGCUAACUCCGUGCCAGCAGCCGCGGUAAUACGGAGGGUGCAAGCGUUACUCGGAAUCACUGGGCGUAAAGAGGGCGUAGGCGGGAUAGCAAGUCAGAUGUGAAAUCCUAUGGCUUAGCCAUAGAACUGCAUUUGAAACUGUUAUUCUAGAGUAUGGGAGAGGUAGGUGGAAUUCUUGGUGUAGGGGUAAAAUCCGUAGAGAUCAAGAGGAAUACUCAUUGCGAAGGCGACCUGCUAGAACAUAACUGACGCUGAUGCGCGAAAGCGUGGGGAGCAAACAGGAUUAGAUACCCGAGUAGUC